UAUUCCAGUUAUUACUAAUGCACGCACAACCAAAUAAAUCAUCCUACCAAAAUCAAUUUGCUCUCCCAAGAAAAUCUUAACCCUAGGCUACUCCCACGACUCCAAUCCAAUUGCUCCAACCUCCUCUCUCUCUCUCUCUCUCUCUCUCUCAGGUUUCUGUACAUUGGAAGCUAAUUCUAUUUCUAAAAGCUUGAUUGGAUAGGAAGAUAUCAUUGUUCAAUAAGGUCGUAGAUUAUGGCAGAGCCCUCAAAAGUCAUUCAUGUUCGUAACGUGGGUCAUGAAAUUGCUGAGAGUGACUUGUUGCAGCUGUUCCAGCCAUUUGGAGUUAUCGCCAAACUUGUGAUGCUUCGAGCCAAGAAUCAGGCCCUCCUACAAAUGCAAGAUGUUCCUUCUGCAGUGAAUGCAUUGCAGUUCUACAGUAAUGUCCAACCAAGCAUAAGGGGCAGGAAUGUUUAUAUCCAAUUCUCAUCACACCAGGAACUAACGAUUAUGGAUCAAAGUCCGCAAGCACGUGGAGACGAGCCUAACCGAAUCCUCUUAGUUACGAUACAUCACAUGCUAUAUCCUAUUACUGUGGAAGUGCUGCAUCAAGUUUUUUCUCCCCAUGGAUUUGUAGAGAAGAUCGUCACGUUUCAGAAGUCGGCUGGUUUUCAAGCUCUAAUACAGUAUCAAUCACAUCAAAGUGCUAUCUCAGCUAGGAACUCUCUUCAGGGACGAAAUAUAUAUGACGGUUGCUGUCAGUUAGACAUCCAGUUCUCAAACCUUGACGAAUUGCAAGUGAAUUAUAAUAAUGAGCGAUCUAGGGAUUUCACAAACCCUUCCUUGCCUUCGGAACAAAAGGGCAAAUCCUCUCAUCCUGGAUAUGGAGAUCCAAGCAUAUAUCCCCAUGCAGUGGGAUUUGCACAGUUGGGCAAUACUGCAGCAAUUGCUGCUGCCUUUGGAGGUGGUCUCCCACCUGGUAUAAGCGGUACAAAUGAGCGGUGCACAGUUCUUGUAUCUAAUCUGAAUGCUGAUAGAAUAGAUGAGGAUAAGCUGUUUAAUUUGUUCUCGAUAUAUGGGAACAUUAUUAGAAUCAAACUUCUCCGAAACAAACCAGAUCAUGCAUUAGUACAGAUGGGUGAUGGUUUUCAGGCUGAACUGGCUGUUCAUUUUUUGAAGGGGGCUAUGCUGUUUGGAAAGCGCUUGGAGGUUAACUUUUCGAAGCAUCCAAACAUUACAACUGGAGCUGAUACGCAUGAGUACUCCAACUCAAAUCUCAAUCGUUUCAAUCGAAAUGCAGCCAAAAAUUACAGGUAUUGUUGCUCACCAACAAAAAUGAUCCACAUCUCAACUCUCCCCCAGGAUGUAACUGAAGAAGAACUAGUAAAUCAUUUGGAAGAGCAUGGAACAAUUGCUAGUACAAAACUGUUUGAGAUGAAUGGAAAGCAGCAGGCUCUUGUCCUUUUUGAAAAUGAGGAGCAGGCUACAGAAGCUCUUGUGUGCAAGCAUGCUACUUCCCUUGGUGGUUCAACCAUUCGAAUUUCCUUCUCUCAGUUGCAAACCAUUUGAGAAACUUCAUUGCAAAUUAGAGAGAUGGAUCCAUAGACUCCUAUUUGAAGUGUGAUGCAUAUGUAUAUGAGGGGGAUUUAGGGUGUUUGGUGAAAAGAAGUAAAAGGUGGGAGCAUAAAAUUGAACCCCUCUCCCCCUCUCUUGUUUCCUUUACUGUAGACUAUAGAUUUGUAGUAAUUUUACAGUGGGUUGUGCAGCUUACUUUUCCUCCCAAGUUGGAUGGAUCAUGCAUGUCUUCUACUAUCAAAUUACAUUUAAUUUGCAAUAGGUUA